GCACUGUUGUAUUGGGCUGAGAGUCUGUAUAAAGAAGACAGGAUGAUAAUUUCUGAGGAAAGGGGAAUGGGCAUCAUCAACAGUUCUAUCCCAUCUCAACUCCUCUCCUCCCCUUCUCACUUGGCUGCUUCCUCCCUCCCCAAGAAAAGACAAGUGUUUCUGCCUUCAAAUACCAUCAAGAAGACUGCCAUACAAGGGAGGAGGGUGGGAAGGGGUUCUUCAUAAAAACUCUCUGAAGCUAAAGGGCAGGGAACUCUUGUUAAAUCUAUUUUUUUAAUAAGAAAAGAUUUACUUAAUAAUUUGCUCUUCAAAUACUGUAACUACAUUUUCUUCCUUCUGCAUCAUUAAUAAAAGGCUAUAAAUA